rnacentral:rRNA from 1 species
AUUGAACGCUAGCGGCAGGCCUUACACAUGCACGUCGAACGAGUGGCGGACGGGUGAGUAAUGUCUGGGAAACUGCCAGAUAGCGGGGGAUAACUACUGGAAACGGUAGCUAAUACCGCAUACCAUUAGAUCUGCCGAGAUGUGAUUAGCUAGUUGGUGGGGUAACGGCUCACCAAGGCAACGAUCCCUAGCUGGUUUGAGAGGACGCCCAGCUACACGGGAACUGAGCCACGGUCAAGACUCCUACGGAAGGCAGCAGUGGGGAAUUUUGGACAAUGGGGGAAAGCCUGAUGCAGCCAUCCGGCGUGUAGGAUGAGGGCCUUCGGGUUGUAAAGUACUUUCAGCAGGGAGGCGUUAUCCGCAGAAUAAGCACCGGCUAACUCCGUGCCAGCAGCCGCGGUAAUUC